GUUGUAAAGAGUCAGACAUGAGUGAGACUUUUUUCACCCAAAAAGAAGAGACCAGAGACCCCCACCCCUCUCUCUCCACCCUGUGAGCACACAGCAAGGGGGCCACUGCCUUCAAACAAGGAAGCAGCUUCUCCCCAGACACCCAACGAGCCGGAACCUUGAUCUUGGACUUCCCAGCCUCCAGAAGUGCAUGCAGGGGAAGGAAGAUGAGAGGCGCCGUAAACAACCAGUCGCCCAUGGCGCUCGACUUGGGAGAUGAGACUGUCAAGGGGGAAACAGUACAUAUAAAAGUGAAAAACGACCUGCAUGCCAGCCCAAGGGUGUUUGUGUUGAACUUAGAGUGGAAAUUUGGAAAAGCUCAACAAAAGCUUUAAAUGAAGAAGAGAUGCUACCGUGUCCAAGAGGUUUUCUCUGGAGGUGGGCUUGUUUUGCAUGAAAGGAGGGUUCCUGCACGUGGUGACCCUGAGAAAGCCAAGAAUCUUAGCUCAUUAUUUGAUUCCCUCCAUGGAAGCCAAGUCCAAACCACCCUCUGGAGGUGCCUCGCUGUGAGAACCCUCGAGACGCAGCAUAACGAUGAUACUGGCAUCACCCCUUCGUCACAGGGGCGCUCGCCCACUUAAAACAUGGAAGAAACUGGGCUAAACACUGCACUGUAGUCUCACAAAAAUGUGCAGGGCUGAGUAAUAUCAGCGUCUCUGUUUUACAUAUUUUAAGGCAGGUUCCAGUAUUGAUGGUUAAGUCAGCCUGUGCUUGAGUCAAGAUUUAACCUAAGUCUCUGACUUCAGAAUCCCUUUUGAGGGCAGACAAGCCCUUCAUACAUUGACUGUAUCACGUACGGCUGUUUCCUAACUCAAGCCAUCACCUUUUACAUACACCACAUACAUGUCUCACACGUGCCCACUUGUGCUUACCCUGCCCCGCUGUAAGAGCGCCAGUCUUCUUUAUUCACAUUCCUGCCACUUAGAGUUAGAAGGAGGCCCAGACAUAGCCCAAGAGUAAGUCAUGAUCUGAGUCAGCUGAGGCAAUUGCCUCCUCUUUCUUUGAUUGGCUUGGAAAGCGGUCUAUGAACCAAUUCUGUCAAAUGAAAUACAGUGAAAAUCCAUUGCCAGGGCUUGAUAA
ensembl:lncRNA